rnacentral:rRNA from 1 species
GAUCAACGCUGGCGGCGUGCCUAAUGCAUGCAAGUCGAGCGGGGUGACCUUCGGAGCACUUACGCGGCGGACGGGUGCGUAACACGUGGGCAACCUGCCCCGAGGUGGGGGAUAGCCGUGGGAAACCGCGGGUAAUUCCGCAUGUGGUGCGGUGUCGGAGGACGCCGUACGAAAGGGUCUUUUUGACUCGCCUUGGGAGGGGCCUGCGGCCGAUUAGCUAGUUGGUGGGGUCACGGCCUACCAAGGCGGCGAUCGGUAGCUGGUCUGAGAGGACGGCCAGCCACACGGGGACUGAGACACGGCCCCGACUCCUACGGGAGGCAGCAGCAAGGAAUCUUCCGCAAUGGGCGAAAGCCUGACGGAGCAACGCCGCGUGCGGGAUGACGCCCUUCGGGGUGUAAACCGCUUUUCUUCGGGAAGAACGUGCGGCAACGCACUUGACGGUACCGGAGGAAGAAGGACCGGCUAACUACGUGCCAGCCGCCGCCGUAACAC